CCCAAAUAUUCCCCAUUAUGGAAGUAUCCUUGUUAGAUCAGGCUUCUCAAACCAAUUACGUUUUAUGUUUGACUAUGACCUAAUGCUUCAUGGAAAGACAUCAAUGAAGUAUAAUGAUUCAAAACUGGAAUUCCUCAGAAUUGAUUCAACCACUCUUAAUUGCAAGUAAUUUCCCAUUAUGGAAGUAUCCUUGUUAGAUCAGGCUUCUCAAACCAAUUACGUUUUAUGUUUGACUAUGACCUAAUGCUUCAUGGAAAGACAUCAAUGAAGUAUAAUGAUUCAAAACUGGAAUUCCUCGGAAUUGAUUCAACCACUCUUAAUUGCAAGUAAUUUCUGUUUCUUUUUUUCUGGUGGAUCGACCUUCCUUAACCUAAG
rnacentral:lncRNA from 1 species